rnacentral:lncRNA from 1 species
GAACUCGGUCCAAGAGCCUCUCUGAGACCUCUUCUCCCUUCUCUGUCAGCACAGGAAAAGAGAGUGGAGGGGCUGCUGCCCCAGGAAGGCUGGGCCCACCCCUCCUCACAGGCACCCUGAUGCCUGUUCAGCUUGGCUCUCUGGAUGACAGGCAGAAGCCCCAGUUGCUUCUCUUCUCCACGGUGAUUUCUGCAUACUUUAUCCAAACCCCCUCCCCACCGCUGUUCAGUUUCUGGCUCCUCUUCCUGCCCGUGCUCUGAGGCCAGCUGGGGGCCUCCCAGGUGACUCCUGCUGCUGCUGUCACUGGACCCUGACGCUGUGCCGCACCCGAAUUCCUCCGAAUGGAGCCUUGGCCAGAGCAAGGCGUGCCGUGUAGAGGAGCGGAUCUGAGCCUGGCAGGAGAUCGC